GACGAACGCUGGCGGCGUGCCUAAUACAUGCAAGUCGAGCGGACAGAUGGGAGCUUGCUCCCUGAAGUCAGCGGCGGACGGGUGAGUAACACGUGGGCAACCUGCCUGUAAGACUGGGAUAACUUCGGGAAACCGGAGCUAAUACCGGAUACGUUCUUUUCUCGCAUGAGAGAAGAUGGAAAGAUGGUUUCGGCUAUCACUUACAGAUGGGCCCGCGGCGCGUUAGCUAGUUGGUGAGGUAAUGGCUCACCAAGGCAACGAUGCGUAGCCGACCUGAGAGGGCGAUCGGCCACACUGGGACUGAGACACGGCCCAGACUCCUACGGGAGGCAGCAGUGGGGAAUCUUGCGCAAUGGACGAAAGUCUGACGCAGCCACGCCGCGUGAGUGAAGAAGGCCUUCGGGUUGUAAAGCUCUGUCGAGCGGGACGAAAAUCUUUUGGGUUAACAGCCCAGGAGACUGACGGUACCGCUAAAGGAAGCACCGGCUAACUCCGUGCCAGCAGCCGCGGUAAAAC
rnacentral:rRNA from 1 species